rnacentral:tRNA from 1 species
ACUAUUUUGGCAGAAAAAUGUAAUAAAUUUAGAAUUUAUUAAUAUAUAAUUUAUUUAUAUAAGUAGUA